AGUCUAGAGGAAACAUUUCUGCACAACUAGAAUAUUCAAACUUGUAUGAGGAAAAGCUUCUGUCACAGU
rnacentral:pre_miRNA from 15 species